rnacentral:rRNA from 1 species
UACGGAGGGUGCAAGCGUUAUCCGGAUUUACUGGGCUUAAAGGGUGCGCAGGCGGCUAUGUAAGUCAGUGGUGAAAUCUCUAGGCUUAACCUGGAAAUUGCCGUUGAUACUAUAUAUCUUGAAUGCUGUAGAGGUAAGCGGAAUAUGUCAUGUAGCGGUGAAAUGCUUAGAUAUGACAUAGAACACCUAUUGCGAAGGCAGCUUACUACGCAGAUAUUGACGCUCAUGCACGAAAGCGUGGGGAGCAAACAGG